rnacentral:rRNA from 1 species
AGCAGCCGCGGUAAUUCCAGCUCCAAUAGCGUAUAUUAAAGUUGUUGCAGUUAAAAAGCUCGUAGUUGAAUUUCGGGGUUUACCCAUUGGUCAGGCUUAAUUGUCUGUACUGGUGAGAUGAAUCUCUACCUUCUGAGGAACUUUCAUGCCAUUUAUUUGGUGUGAUGGAAAAUUAGGACUGUUACUUUGAAAAAAUUAGAGUGUUUAAAGCAGGCUAACGUCUGAAUACAUUAGCAUGGAAUAAUGAAAUAGGACGGAUUGAUUCUAUUUCGUUGGUUUCUAGGAUCACCGUAAUGAUUAAUAGGGGUUACUUUGAAAAAAUUAGUGUGUUUUAAGGCAGGCUUUUGUCUGAGUAGGUUAGCAUGGAAUAACGUAAUAGGACGGAUGGUCCUAUUUCGUUGGUUUCUAGGAUCACCGUA